CGUACGUAUUCUUUUUCUUUUAAACAGUUACCGAGACGUAGUGCGUAUGCAAACAAAUUCACUUAUUUAAAGUAGGUGAUUCCGUGUUUUUACUCUAUUUAUAGGGUUGUGCAACCAUUGUUAGAGUCUAAUUUUAGAAGCUGUUUUUCCCCCUCAGAAAACCGGCUUAGUAGUGACUCCUCAGUUCCCCCCAACUCCCCACGCCCCUGGUGUUAGGCAGCCCUAAUCUACUUCCUGUUUCUGUAGUACACUGCCUUUCUGUAUUAACCGGUUCUUCAAAUGACGAUCUCACAUUUAUGAGGUUGCCCUGGCUAGGCAGCCAGGCUCUUUCAUUUCUUUCUGCCCCUCUCCUUUUCCUUCCUUCAGCACCCAGGAGAAUGGUUCUGCAGCAGCUGUGUUUGUGCUUGUCAAUGCCAAGCUCCAUACCCUCCAGCCCGGUCCACAUUUCCCAAAGCCCCUGGUGAGAUUCCUGAGCAGCACCAAUGCACUGACUGUCACUCUGUGUUCUCUUAGGUCCCGUUGAGGUCCCACAGGACCUCAUAUUAGAAGACAUUGAGGAUGAUGAGCUACCCCGUGAUGUGGAGAAGCCCGCCGCUUGGUGUCACCGCCGUACUGUUGAGGUCCCGCAGGACCUCAUACUAGAAGACAUUGAGGAUGAUGAGCUACCUCGUGACGAGGAGAAGCCCGCCGCUUGGUGUCAGCACCGUCCCGUUGAGGUCCCGCAGGACCUCAUACUAGAAGACAUUGAGGAUGAUGAGCUACCCCGUGAUGAGGAGAAGCCUGCGUCCCACUAUCAUCGCCGUCCCGUUGAGGUCCCGCAGGACCUCAUACUAGAAGACAUUGAGGAUGAUGAGCUACCCCGUGACGAGGAGAAGCCCGCCGCUUGGUGUCACCACCGUACGUAUUCUUUUUCUUUUAAACAGUUACCGAGACAUAGUGCAUAUGCAAACAAAUUCACUUAUUUAAAGUAGGUGAUUCCGUAUUUUUACUCUAUUUAUAGGGUUGUGCAACCAUUGUUAGAGUGCAAUUUUAGAAGCUGUUUUUCCCCCUCAGAAAACCCACUUAGUAGUGACUCUUCUGUUCUCCCCAACCCCUCACGCCCCUGGAUUUAGGCAGCCCUAAUCUACUUCCUGUUUCUGUAGUACACUGCCUUUCUGUAUUAACCGGUUCUUCAAAUGACGAUUUCACGUUGAUGAGGUUGCCCUGGCUAGGAAGCCAGGCUCUUUCAUUUCUUUCUGCCCCUCUCCUUUUCCUUCCUUCAGCACCCAGGAGAAUGGUCCAGCAGCAGCUGGGUCUGUGCUUUUCAAACGCCCAGCUCCAUAUCCUCCAGCCCGGUCCACAUUUCCCAAAGCUCCUGGUGAGAUUCCUGAGCAGCACCAAUGCACUGACUGUUACUCUGUGUUCUCUUAGGUCCCGUUGAGGUCCCGCAGGACCUCAUACUAGAAGACAUUGAGGAUGAUGAGCUACCCCGUGACGAGGUAAGAUGCAUUCUUCUGUCUCGAAGAGAAAUUUUUCUUUCUGUGGCCUCUGGUAUAUCAAGUGAAUAUCCUUUUUGACUGCCAUUGUGAAUCGGACCU
rnacentral:lncRNA from 13 species